ACGGAAGGCAGCAGUAGGGAAUAUUGGUCAAUGGGGGGAACCCUGAACCAGCGACGCCGCGUGAGUGAAGAAGUAUUUCGGUAUGUGAAGCUCUAUCAGCAGGGACGAUAAUGACGGUACCUGACUAAGAAGCCCCGGCUAACUACGUGCCAGCAGCCGCGGUAAUACGUAGGGGGCAAGCGUUAUCCGGAUUUACUGGGUGUAAAGGGAGCGUAGGUGGCCAUGCAAGUCAGAUGUGAAAUCCCGGGGCUCAACCCCGGAGCUGCAUUUGAAACUGCGUAGCUAGAGUGCAGGAGAGGUAAGCGGAAUUCCUAGUGUAGCGGUGAAAUGCGUAGAUAUUAGGAGGAACACCAGUGGCGAAAGCGGCUUGCUGGACUGCAACUGACACUGAGGCUCGAAAGCGUGGGGAGCAAACAGGAUUAGAUACCCUGGUA
rnacentral:rRNA from 1 species